rnacentral:misc_RNA from 1 species
UGGAUCUGUCUUUGAAGCCAGCUUUUGUGAAUAAAUCAAAGAAAGAGACCACUAAUGGUCAAGCCCAGAAGAAACGCAAAAUGGAAACGCUAGAAGAAUUGGAAGUAAAUCAAACUGUAAAUGCGGUUGUGGAGAUUGUUAAAGAAAAUUACUUGGUUGUUUCACUGCCAUCAUACGAUAACGCUCUUGGAUAUGCAUCAAGAGCUGAUUACAAUACUCAAAAUCUCCCUCCUAAAUCAUUUACCAAUGGAGAAAGUGUCAUUGCAACUGUUAUGGCCCUUCCUUCUCCUUCAACAAGUGGGAGAUUGCUGCUGCUGCUUAAGUCUAUCAGUGAAGCUAUUGAAACGUCAAAUUCCAAGAGGGCUAAAAGGAAAUCUGGUUAUAAUGUUGGGUCGCUGGUUCAGGCAGAGAUUACUGAAAUAAGGCCAAUUGAACUGAGACUAAAAUUUGGGUCAAGUUUCCAUGGGAGGGUGCACAUAACAGAGGCAUCAGAUGACAAUUAUGCUGAAGCUCCAUUUAGUAACUUCAGAUUUGGGCAGACUCUUACUGCAAGGAUCAUUUCAAAGCUCAAUAUGUCAGAAAGUGUUAAGAGAGGCUAUCAGUGGGAGCUAUCCAUUAAACCAUCCACACUUACAGGAUCUGAUGAAAUUGAACCCGAUAAGAAAAUCAGUUAUUCAACUGGCCAGCUCGUUUCUGGCUUUGUGUACAAAGUUGACAAAGAAUGGGCUUGGCUAACGAUAUCCCGAGAUGUUAAGGCCCAGCUCUACAUCUUAAAUAGCUCAAGUGAACCUAGUGAGCUAGAUGAAUUUCAGGAAAGGUUCUCUGUCGGCA